AACGAACGCUGGCGGCAGGCUUAACACAUGCAAGUCGAGCGCCCCGCAAGGGGAGCGGUAGACGGGUGAGUAACGCGUGGGAAUCUACCCAUCUCUACGGAAUAACGCAUGGAAACGUGUGCUAAUACCGUAUACGUCCUUCGGGAGAAAGAUUUAUCGGAGAUGGAUGAGCCCGCGUUGGAUUAGCUAGUUGGUGGGGUAAAGGCCUACCAAGGCGACGAUCCAUAGCUGGUCUGAGAGGAUGAUCAGCCACACCGGGACUGAGACACGGCCCAGACUCCUACGGGAGGCAGCAGUGGGGAAUACUGGACAAUGGGCGCAAGCCUGAUCCAGCCAUGCCGCGUGAGUGAUGAAGGCCCUAGGGUUGUAAAGCUCUUUCACCGGUGAAGAUAAUGACGGUAACCGGAGAAGAAGCCCCGGCUAACUUCGUGCCAGCCGCCGCAGUAACAC
rnacentral:rRNA from 1 species